rnacentral:lncRNA from 1 species
AUGCUGUCGCCAGGCUGCAGCCGCCUGAGGGGACUCGUCCGGGGCCCCGCCCUCAGAGCUCACACCCGCCGUGCGCUCUCGCCCCGGGGCCGCCCCGCCGACCUCCCGCGCGGCUCUGCGCGCACAGGCCGGACGCUCGGAGCCGGCGCCGGGCCGCCCUGCUCGGCCUCCUGGGCGCAGCGGCGCCUCUGGACCGAGCACGCGCACCAGCGGCCUCCGCUCAGGCUCCGUGCCCGCGCACGCGCCCUCGCGUCGCGCUCCUGGCUGAGAGACCUGCGCUCGGGCUGGGCUCCGGGCGGUUCUCGCGUUGUCGUUCCACCGGGACUUCCGCGCUUCGGUGGCCUUUCGGACGAGCCGCCGCGCCCAGAGAUGUUCAGGUUGGAGCGACACUUCCCAGACGGCAGCGGUCACGCCAGCUCUUUGGCUUCCAUUCCGUUUUCGCGCGGUUCUCCCUCUUCGCAAGCUGCUUGGCUGCAAGAGGGAAGUAGGACAUUGAGCCCUAAAGGGAGAUUUCCAGCCAGGGGGCACCGAGUGAUGUCAUUCUGA